ACUUCCUCAUACAACAAAAAGAAGAAAAAAGAAAUGGCUCUUACAAAACUCAACAAAGUGACCUUUGUCGCUCUACUUGUCUGCUUCAUCCUAAUUGCAUCAUAUGAAACGCAAAUGGUUGAAGCAAAGCAUUGUAUGAAAUACAACAGUUGGAGUGGCAGAUGCCCCCCGAUGCGUUGCAGCAGUUGGUGCAAAGGCAUGGGUGGCUCCAAGUGGUAUUGUCAGCACCAAAAGUGUUACUGCCAGUAUCAUUGCGGCAGCUAAAUGAAAAUAUUUAUAUCUUGCACUAUUUUCAUACCACCAAAAUAGUGCAUCAUAUAAUAAAUCUAAAUCUUUUAUAUAGUAAAGAGAAAUAAAUGUUGCUACAUAUAAAUGACUCGAGUCAUUUUAUUACACGGCAACAAUUGUAUGUUGUAACCUAUACGCGCGACACUAGUUGUGUGUAUUUUAAUGUGUUGUAUGCUAAAUACUAUUAUUACUAUACUAUUUGAGUUUUUAGUAUUUACAAAGUUUGAUGUU